AACUAAAACUAGCUCAAAAAAUAACCAUACAAAACUACUUCUACAAGCCAAAACAAAACAUUUACCACCAUUAGAGUAUGGGCGAUAGAAAUAAUUUACAUGACGCUAUAGAAAAAGUACCGCAAGGGAAAGUUGAAAGAAACCAUUAUAAGUAAUAAAUAGCAAAGAUUAAUACUUGUACCUUUUGCAUUAUGAUUCAACUAGAAUGCCUUAGCAAAAAGAAUUAUAGUUAAACGACCCGAAACCAGACGAGCUACCUUCCAGCAGCCAAUCAGGGCAAACCCGUCUAUGUGGCAAAAUAGUGGGACGACUGAAAGGUAGGGGUGACAAGCCUAUCGAGCCUGGUGAUAGCUGGUUGUCCAGGACAGAAUUUUAGUUCUAAUUUAAAUUUACAAGAAAAAAAAAUAAAUUCUAACGUAAGUUUAAAGUAUAGUCUCAAAGGGUACAGCCUUUUAGACAAGGGAUACAACCCGCACUAGAGAGUAAGCAAGACCGGACUACAAUAGUUGGCCUAAAAGCAGCCAUCAAAUAAGAAAGCGUUCAAGCUCAACAGAACACCCCAAAUUGAUCCCAACAAUGACACUAACUCCUAGUAUAAAACUGGACCAUUCUAUUAAAUUAUAGAAGAAAUAAUGUUGAUAUGAGUAAUAAGAAACAUUUCUCCCCGCACACGUGUAUAUCAGAACGAAUAAGUCACUGAUAGUUACCAAAGUAUUCACAUACUAAAAAAUAAACCUAUACCACCACUUGUUAGUCCAACACAGGAGUGCAACCAAGGAAAGAUUAAAAGAAGCAAAAGGAACUCGGCAAAUUUUAACCCCGCCUGUUUACCAAAAACAUCACCUCUAGCAUAAAUAGUAUUAGAGGCACUGCCUGCCCGGUGACUUUAGUUUAACGGCCGCGGUAUCCUGACCGUGCAAAGGUAGCAUAAUCACUUGUUCCCUAAAUAGGGACUUGUAUGAAUGGCCUCACGAGGGUUACACUGUCUCUUGCUUCCAAUCAAUGAAAUUGACAUUCCCGUGAAGAGGCGGGAAUAAAAAGAUAAGACGAGAAGACCCUAUGGAGCUUUAAUUAAUUAGCCCACAAAAUAUAAUAUAACCCCAAGGGGACACGUCCACUUUAAUUGGGCUGAAAAUUUGGGUUGGGGUGACCUCGGAAUAAAAAAUAACUCCCGAGAAAAUCUAUCGAGACCAACAGGUCGAAAUUAGUCCACAAUAAAUUGACCCGCCACAGGCGAUCAACGAAACAAGUUACCCUAGGGAUAACAGCGCAAUCCUAUUUAAGAGUUCAUAUCGACAAUAAGGGUUUACGACCUCGAUGUUGGAUCAGGACAUCCCAAUGGUGCAGCAGCUAUUAAUGUGUUCGUUUGUUCAACGAUUAAAGUCCUACGUGAUCUGAGUUCAGACCGGAGUAAUCCAGGUCGGUUUCUAUCUAUUUUAUAGUCUCUCCCAGUACGAAAGGACAAGAGAGACAGGGCCCACUCAUCACCGAGCGCCCUUAUGACAACAGGUGAUUUAAUCUCAAUCUCACUAUAUAACACACAACCCAAGAUCAGGGAUA
rnacentral:rRNA from 1 species